AACGAACGCUGGCGGUAUGCUUAACACAUGCAAGUCGAACGACGAAAAUCUUUCGGGAUGAGUAGAGUGGCGCACGGGUGAGUAACGCGUAGAUAAUCUACCCUAGAGUCUAGGACAACCUCGCGAAAGUGAGGCUAAUACUGGAUAACACUGAAUGUCGAGUGACGUUUAGUUAAAAGGUUUACUGCUUUAGGAUGAGUCUGCGUACCAUUAGCUAGUUGGGGAGGUAACGGCUUCCCAAGGCGACGAUGGUUAGCGGGUCUGAGAGGAUGAUCCGCCACACUGGAACUGAGACACGGUCCAG
rnacentral:rRNA from 1 species